rnacentral:rRNA from 1 species
GACGAACGCUGGCGGCGUGCUUAACACAUGCAAGUCGAACGGGGAACCUCUUCGGAGGGGCUCAGUGGCGAACGGGUGAGUGACACGUGGGCAACCUGCCCCCGGCUCUGGGAUAACUCCAAGAAAUUGGGGCUAAUACCGGAUGUUCACCGCUUCCCGCCUGGGUGGUGGUGGAAAGGGUUUCCGGCUGGGGAUGGGCCCGCGGCCUAUCAGCUUGUUGGGGGGGUAGUGGCCUACCAAGGCGCCGACGGGUAGCCGGCCUGAGAGGGUGACCGGCCACUCUGGGACUGAGAAACGGCCCAGACUGCUACGGGAGGAAGCGGUGGGGAAUAUUGCGCAAUGGGCGGAAGCCUGUGGAAGCAGCGCCGCGUGGGGGAUGACGUCCUUCUGAUUGUAAAGCUCUGGCAGCUGGGACGAUGCGGAACUGACGGUAGCUGCAGAGGAAGCACCGGCCAAAUAAGUG